GGUCCAGAAGUCAACAUACAAUAAGGAAAAAUCUGUGGGAAGGCGAGUCUCGUUAACUGUAGGUGUUAUGGUAUAGGAAAUGACCAAACAGGCAGAUCGUAAACCUGUUUACUAAAUUUACCUUUUGUAUUUCUCUUUUUCAGAAAGGCGACAAAUCCAAGGUAGUGCCAGGAAGUCCUAACCAAAGCACACCAAUAUUUUAUAGAAAUAAUUGAUCAGGCCAAUAUCAAGAUUGAUUUGACGAUACAUUCGGAUGUCUGCCCUAUCAACUUUCGAUGGUACUUUCUGCACCUACCAUGGUGACCACGGGUAAUGAGAAAUCAGGGUUCGAUUCCAGAGAGGGAGCCUGAGAAAUGGCUACCACAUCCAAGGAAGGCAGCAGGAGCGCAAAUUACCCACUCCCGACGCGGUGAGGUAGUGACGAAAAAUAACAAUACAGGACUCUUUCGAGGCCAUGUAAUUGGAAUGAGUACACUUUAAAUUGGAGGGCAAGUCUUUUUCCAGU
rnacentral:ncRNA from 1 species